rnacentral:tRNA from 1 species
GCAUUCGUGGUGUAAUGGUCAGCACACUGAGCCAGUAUUUCAGAGGUCCGUGGUUCGAUCCCCGGCGAAGGCA